GAUGAACGCUAGCGGCAGGCUUAAUAUAUGCAAGUCGAGGGGUAGCAAGAUUGUAGCAAUACAAUUGUUGACGACCGGCAAACGGGUGCGGAACACGUACACAACCUUCCUACAAGUGGGGAAUAGCCCAGAGAAAUUUGGAUUAAUACCCCGUAACAUAGCGAUGUGGCAUCACAUUGCUAUUAUAGCUUCGGCGCUUGUUGAUGGGUGUGCGGCUGAUUAGAUAGUUGGCGGGGUAACGGCCCACCAAGUCUACGAUCAGUAGCUGAUGUGAGAGCAUGAUCAGCCACACGGGAACUGAGACACGGGACCGACUCCUACGGGAGGCAGCAGUAAGGAAUAUUGGACAAUGGACGCAAGUCUGAUCCAGCCAUGCCGCGUGAAGGAUUAAGGUCCUCUGGAUUGUAAACUUCUUUUAUAAGGGACGAAAAAAAGGUCUUUCUAGAUCGUCUGACGGUACCUUAUGAAUAAGCACCGGCUAACUCCGUGCCAGCCGCCGCAGUAAGAC
rnacentral:rRNA from 1 species